rnacentral:sRNA from 1 species
UGACCACUUUCUGCAUGCCAUGCAGUAAGUUAAGGCCAGACGGACAGCCGGGUCAACUGCCGA